GAACGCUCCAUCCGCAGGUUCCCCUUAAAGGGGAAAUGCAUUUCGGUCGUCUAAAAAGGGAGCUUUCUGCAGAGCUUAGCCUUAAAACACCAGCCCGUUUAUUUAAAAAGGGAUUGAACUGACGACCUUGGAUUUGCUGCUGAGCUAGACCCCUGGCCACUCCCUAGUUAUUUAACAGUCUCUGUCCUUCCAGACACGGACAGUGGGUGGAGUGUGGCCCUCACCAUAGUACCCCUGUCCCCUAAUGCCACUCCAGAGGGUGGCAUCCCUUUAUUCUAUGCGGGAAGGUGCACCCUGAACCUGGCCAAGAUCAAGGAGAAAGGGAUCCAGGCCCACUAUUAACACAGCCAAUUGUGUGGCAUACGUCUGUAAUCCCUGCACUCGGAAGGCUGAGGCAGGAGGACUGCUGUGAGUUUGAGGCCAACCUGGGCUACAUAGUGAGUUCAAGGCCUCCUUGGACUACAUAUCGAGUCCCCCCCAAAAAUAAAUAAAAUAAAAUAAAAUAUACCUAACCUCCCCAAACCCCUGUGAUGAACACAGCGAGCCUUCUUGAAGAUUCUUCUCUUUUGACCUGCCAUUUUUUGUGGAGAUGUGACUGCUGUCAAUCACACAACUCCUGUGGCCCCACAUUUCCCUGAACUGCUGCCAUGACAGCUGCAGCUGUCCUGACCGCCCUGCAUUGCCUUGGACCAGUCACAGGCCUUGCAGCUGCUACGUGAGCAGCACUACCCUGAGUCCCCUCCUGGCCCCUCCUCUGGUGUUAGUGACCUGCCUGCACAGAUCCUACUAAAGGACAGCCUCGUCUGGGUGGGUCUGUAACUCUGCUUGGGAUUGAUUUCUCAGGUAGUAUAGCCUCUGUCGAUCCUGAGUAGUGUGACAGAGUGAUUGGAGGAAGAGUAAGAAGAGAGAUCUUUAGCCCUGAAGAGUUUUAGAGACCAACAGCCAACAAAGAUCAGUGACAAGAGCAGCAAUCAGCAGCGUUGACUGAUGGCACCCAGCAUGAGCCAGAGUCAGACAGUGGUGGCUCGCAGUGGCAGAGCCCAGCAGCUGACAGGACAGCUGCUGUCCAGCAUGGACUGGUGUUGACCUGCAGCAUCGAGCAGGGCUGCACUUUGCCCACUCAUGAUUUUUAUUUGAAUCAAGCAAAAGAACCCUCGAAGAAUCAGUGACAAUAAAAUCUGUGAGAGCAAA